AAAUGUUAAAGUUCUUAUUUCAUGGUAUAACUUUGGUAUGCUUGGACCUAGAGUCUUCAAACUUGACAUGAAGGUUGGCCAGGAUUAACAGAUGACCACUGGUCAUUUCAAGGUCAUUCAUUUGAAGGUCAAGGUCACUGUGACCUUCAAUAUAAAAAAUGUUAAAGUUCUUAUAACUUUGGUAUGCUUGGACCUAGAGUCUUGAAACUUGACAUGAAGGUUUGCCAUAACUAGUUAGUAACCACUGGUCAUUUCAAGGUCAUUCAUUUGAAGGUCAAGGUCACUGUGACCUUGAAUGUAAAAAUGUUAAAGUUCUUAUUUCAUGGUAUAACUUUGGUAUGCUUGGACCUAGAGUCUUCAAACUUGACAUGAAGGUUGGCCAGGAUUAACAGAUGACCACUGGUCAUUUCAAGGUCAUUCAUUUGAAGGUGAAGGUCACUGUGACCUUCAAUAUAAAAAUGUUAAAGUUGUUAUAACUUUGGUAUGCUUGGACCUAGAGUCUUGAAACUUGACAUGAAGGUUGGCCAGAACUAGUAAGUAACCACUGGACAUUUCAAGGUCAUUCAUUUGAAGGUCAAGGUCACUGUGACCUUGAAUGUAAAAAUGUUAAAGUUGUUAUAACUUUGGUAUGCUUGGACCUAGAGUCUUGAAACUUGACAUGAAGGUUGGCCAGAACUAGUAAGUAACCACUGGACAUUUCAAGGUCAUUCAUUUGAAGGUCAAGGUCACUGUGACCUUGAAUGUAAAAAUGUUAAAGUUCUUAUUUCAUGUUAUAACUUUGGUAUGCUUGUACCUAGAGUCUUCAAACUUGAAAUAAAGAUUGGCCAGUACUAGAAGAUGACCACUGGUCAUUUCAAUGUCAUUCAUUUGAAGGUCAAGGUCACUGUGACCUUCAAUGUUAAAAUGUUAAAAUUGUUAUAACUUUGGUAUGCUUGGACCUAGAAACUAGAACUGGUGUGAUAGAAACCUUUUGGAGUGAUCAUAAGGCUGUCUGGAUUUCUGUGUAGGUAUGUGAAAGCAAAACAAUAAAUAGUAUUAUUUCAUCUAAGUUUAUUUUCUUACAUUUGAUAAUGAAAUUGAUGGAAACUUCAAACAAUAUCUUACUAAUUUGCUAAUAAAAAAAUUGAGAUCAAACUUUCCUAAUUGUCAAUUCAAGUUCAUAUUUGUGACCUUAAAUGUUAUUGUUGUUCAUGUAUAUGCAUGCAUUCAAAACAUAACACAAGGUUUGCUCAUGCCUUGAAAAGUACUUACAUUUCAUUUUGACCUUUGAACAAUAUUUCAGUAAUUUAAGUAUUGCAUUGACAAAAACACGAAAGGUACUUUCCUGUCAUUUAAAUCAAAAAUCCGGCUUCAAUGCGGUCAUCUCCGACCGCGGAACUCUUGUUAUCAAAUUGUAAAAAAACUAUUGAUAAAUAGUUUUGAGGGAAAAAACUAAUUGUUACAAAAAGCUUGCGGUGAAAACUAAUUGACCCAAAAUCUUAUCUGUUGCCCUGCAAGACAUGUUCAGUCAAAUUGCCAUUAUAUGAAUCUGGAAUCUGACCAAUACUGGUGUAAUACAAAUCAAAGCUGUACUCUCCCAUCAUUUUGCCUCAUUUAUUCAAUGUCUAUAAAGAUAUGAUAACACAUAUCGCUUUUAUACAACAACAAAACUCAAUUAUAUGAUUAAUUAUCAAGGUCCAACAACAAUUUAAUCAUGUAUGAAAAAGAUGCUUUUACAUGAAUAGCCAACAUGUGGUUAUUUUCACACUUUUUCUAGUGAGAUCAGUCAUCUUUUAUUAACCCUUGGCAUGCUGGGUAAUUUGUCAUCUGCUAAAAUGUCGUCUGCUGAAUUUCUAAAAUUAGCAUUUUUCUUCAAUUUUUUUCAAAGAAUACUAUCAGAAUAGCAAACAGUUUGGAUCCAGAUGAGACGCCACGUUCUGUGGCGUCUCAUCUCGAUCUAAACUGUUUGCAAAGGCCUUCAAAAUUCGGUUCCAGCACUGUAAGGGUUAACAAUAAAGGGGUUACAUUGAGAUAUGCAGCACAAUCCAAACAUUUAGGCGUAUCAUUAAUUUAAUAAAGAAUCAAAUGGUUUGGGUUAUUUCUCCACUUUUCUGUAAUGAACUUUAUAUUAUAUUUAUUUAUUGUCAUGUAUAUAUGUAUAUAAAGUCUUGUUAAUAAAAAAUAUUAUUCAAUAAAUAUUUCAUGGGACAUGUUAACAGAUUGUCAAAAUGACAGUUUUGCAAUUAUUUGCCACAUAUUUAAGAAGUAAAAGAACAGUGUACAUUGUUGAGUGAAAUAACGUUAAUGCUGUAGAAUUGUACAGACAUUUUAAAAUACAGUUUCGUUAAUGAAUUCUCAUCAUUUUAAGUUGAUAAAUUAAAAAGCAUUGCAAUCGCAAAAUAAUUAAAUAAUUUUGAAUGUUUCCUGUUGUUUUUAUUACAAAACGAGGCUCAAUUAUUUUAAGUAUCAAGUUCUAAUAUAAAAUAGGCAGGAUAGCUUAGUGGUGAAGGCUUAAGCCAUUUAAACCAAAGGAUACUGAUGAAAGUCCUAAUGGUGACAAAAUUAUUUUAUUUUUCUUAAAUUAUAUUUGUGUUAUUAUAAUCGACCUUUACCUAUCCCAUGUUUAAAUCUAGCCUUUUCCUUGACGAUCACUACUAGUACUCAUUAGUACAUCUUAUGGUCACCACUAUAGCAUGUCGAGGGGAACCACUUUAUUGACAAUUUUUAUGUCCAUUUGUCUAACACCAAUAACUUCUUGAAGCAACACAUUUUCGCACCCUUAGCAAUAAGGUCUGUAUAUUGCCUUGGAAUACUGAAUAGUUGCUAAAAUAUAAAUAAUAAGAUGCUUCGGCAUAAGGGUUUUGAUUUCUAUCUAAAAAUCUAGAUGUCUCGGGUGCGAUCACGACUUUAAGGGGCCUUUUCACAUUUUGGUAAAUUGAAAAAAAUUACAAAAAUGUGUUUCAGAUUCGCAGAUUGUUUUUCGUUUUAGUUAUGCUUUUUGUGAAGAAACAGUAAAACUGAACAUUAACCAUGCUCUAAAAUAUCCGUUACAUGCAUCUUUUGACACUUUAAAACCCUGAAAAUUAUAAAACAUUGCAACUCUAAACGAUUGUGCAAUUUUGAGAGUUCUGUUAUUGUUGUUAUUUUUUGUGACACUAUGAGGGUGUAAUUUAAAAACCAUCUUAGGGUAGGAAAAUGCCUUACCUCCCUUUCAAGAUUUAGUUCAACUCUUUAUAUAGGUCCAGCAAAGUUAACCCUUUGCAUGCUGGGUAAUUUGUCUUCUGCUAAAAUGUCGUCUGCUGAAUUUCUAAAAAUAGCAUUUUUUUCGAUUUUUUUCAAAGAAUACUAUCAUAAUAGCAAACAGUUUGGAUCCUGAUGAGACGCCACAUUAUGUGGCGUCUCAUCUGAAUCCAAACUGUUUGCAAAGGCCUCCAAAAUUCGGUUCCCGCACUGAAAGAGUUAACAACUAUUUGUAAAAUAAGUUUGACAUUCAAAGGGAGGAAAUCAGCUGUGAGGAGGAAAAAAUCAUACACCUGCUCAUUCAUUGUAUAAGCACGGAGGUCCGAAUGGUCUAAGCAAUAGACUUUUACUCCAAGUGUCAGUGUUUUGAGCCCAGUUGAAGUUUUUUUUCUUUAAUUUUAUUAUUGUUUUUUACUGGAGCUGUUUAGAUCCAAUAAUUACAUUUAUCAAUAUCAAGCAUUUUAUGACAAACUUCAAUGUCUGCCAAAAUUUGUGAACAGGUCCCUUUAACACUUUGUCUUUCAGAAGCAAAGUAAAUAUGGCUAUGUGCAAACAGCAUAAAACCAGAACAGCCUGCGAGUAGUUUGCAGGCUGUUCAUGGUUUUUGCUACUAAUCAGUAUCAAAGGGUAGGAAUUGAAGCCUUUAAAACAUGAAUCUAAUAAAAAAGGUCUUUAAUUAAAUUUUAUUUAACUUUCUAGGGGACUACAAAUGGGUCAAAAUAUGAAUCUAAGAGGUCAAGGAUUAACUUUCUAAGGGACUACAAAUUUGUAAAAAUAUGUAUCUAUGUGGUAAAUGGUGAAAGAGCAUUUCAAAGAUCUUUUCUGAUUCUACUAAUGGAACUGAAUCCGAAGGCUUUCAAUAACUCUUUGGUGUUUCUUGCAAUCUAAGCUUAAUAGAAUAUGUUCCCAUGCUGGUCUGCCAUUUCAUCCUCCCCUUUUGCAUUGCAGCAUCCUGUACCUUUACUGAUCCUAGAUCUUCCCCUAUCGUAGCCCAUUUUGUAUGUUUAGUUUAGACAUGUUAUUACUGUUCAAUUGUAUACAUGUAGUUAAACAUUUUUAAAACCAUUUAUGCCUUGCAGUUAACUUGUCUUAUCAUCAAUGGUUUUUUUAUUUUCCUUCUAGUGCAUAAUUUUUUGUAGGCAUCGAUGUUGGAAUUCCUCUGGAACUUAGUUUUAAAAAGUUUAAUAAACAUCCAAAAAAUA